rnacentral:rRNA from 1 species
GAUGAACGCUAGCGAUAGGCCUAACACAUGCAAGUCGAGGGGCAGCACAUGAGGUAGCAAUACCGAUGGUGGCGACCGGCGCACGGGUGAGUAACACGUAUGCAACCUGCCUUCAACAAGGGCAUAACCCGUUGAAAGACGGACUAAUACCCUAUAACACAGGGGUCCCGCAUGGGAAUAUUUGUUAAAGGACAACCGGUUGAAGAUGGGCAUGCGUUCCAUUAGCUAGUUGGCGGGGUAACGGCCCACCAAGGCAACGAUGGAUAGGGGAACUGAGAGGUUUAUCCCCCACACUGGUACUGAGACACGGACCAGACUCCUACGGGAGGCAGCAGUGAGGAAUAUUGGUCAAUGGACGCAAGUCUGAACCAGCCACGUCGCGUGAAGGAAGACGGCCCUACGGGUUGUAAACUUCUUUUAUACGGGAAUAAAGUGCCCCACGCGUGGGGUUUUGCAUGUACCGUAUGAAUAAGGAUCGGCUAACUCCGUG